rnacentral:rRNA from 1 species
CGUACUUCGUACUUCGUACAUAAAGCUAAAGCUAUAUAAAGCCAUAGAAUUAACUACAAAAUAAAUAUGGGCUAUGAAUGCUGAUUUUUUUAUAGCUUGCGCUAUAAAAAAAUAUUCAUAAAGCUAUAGCUCUUUUUGAUAUAUAAAUUAUAAAUGUAAUUUGUAAAUUCAAAUUUACAAAUUAUAUAAGUAUGGAAAGAAAUUAUUGUAGAAUUUAAGCUAUAUAUUAAAGAGAAUUAUUUAUAUAAAUAGGUUGCAAGCUAAGCAAUAAAGCUAAAGCUAUACCUAUAAUUAUAUUAACUCUAAGAGAAAUCUAGUAAUAAACGAAGUGAAUUGAAAUAUCUUAGUAACUUUAGGAAAAGAAAUCAAAAGAGAUUCUAUGAUUAGCGUGAGCUAAAAUAGACUAGCCUAAAAAGUAAAAUGGUAGAUAAACUGUUUAAAUUAAAUGGGGAACCUUCCUCAAAGGCUAAAUAUAAUAUAUAAGCGAUAGUGAAAAGUACCGUGAGGGAACUAAAACAAAAACAGUAAUUUUAUAAGCAGUUCGGAAAAAUAAAAAAGUUAGAACGUACCUUUUGCAUAAUGGGUCACCAAGUUAACAUUAGAUGCGAGAUUAUACGUAGUUAAACCGAGCGUUAAAAUAACGGAAAGUGUCUAAAGUUAGACCCGAAGCCUGGUGAUUUUACUAUAAUCAGGAUUAUAAAAGUCCGAACGGAAUAUUGUAGCAUAAAUAUCCGAAGAAUUAUGGUAGGUGUAGUGAAAGACAAUACUGACCAGGAUAGCUGGUUUUCUGCGAAACCUAUAAUAGUAGGCAAUUUAAGUAUAAUAUCUUAGCAGGUACAGAAUUUAAUCUCAGACAAGACAUAUAAAAUGUUUUAUUUUGUACAAAUUGGGGGAUCAUGAAGAUUUUAUCAGUGAGUAUGUAGACUCGGAAUGGCAAAGAUAUAUCUUAAAUCAUCAGACAUAGAAUGAUAAGGUUGUAUGUCAAAAGGGAAACAGCCCAGAACAAGAGUUAAGGUUCCUAAAUUAUUAGUUGAGUGAAAUUAAGAAGGUUUUUAUUAAAGUCGACAAGGAGAUAGGCUUAGAAGCAGCCAUAAUUUUAUGACCUCGUAACAGAGCGCUUGUUAAGUUUUAAAAGCAUCGAAAAUUUAUCGGAUCUAAACAAUAUACCGAAACCUUGUCCAUAAUAUUUAUAAUUAAAAUAAUAGUUAUAAUUAAAUGGGGUAGCAGAACGUUGAGUUAAAUUAUGAUUUUUAUUUUUUAAAUGAAAUUAUAAUAAUUUAACUCAAGUGAUAAUGGUGACAUGAGUAACUAAAAGAAAAUUUUCCGCCUAAAGCUUAUGGAUUAAAUUAAGUAACGGCCUCUAAGUUUAUAUUAUCUAAAGAUUUAAACGAUGAGAUAAUCUUUUUUACUAAGGACGACAUUUAAAGUGAAAAAUGUACUGGAAAAAUAGUAAUAUAUUUAUUUUUAGUGUUGGCAUGUAAUAAAGCUAAAGCUAAUGAAAUAAAUGAAAAGUAACCGUACCUAGAAACUGAAACAAGUAAGCUAGUAGAGAAUACGAAGGCGUAAAUGAGCUAACAAUCAUAAAGGAACUCGGCAAAUUGACUACCGUAACUUCGGGAUAAGGAGAGCUCAUUAUUCUUGAUUAAUAUCAAGUAAAGAGGAAGAAGCAUGAAAUAGUGUUGUACGACUGUUUAAUUAAAACACAGCACUUUGCUGAAAGAUUAAAAAUCUAAGUAUAGAGUGUGAUGUCUGCCCGGUGCCGGCUGGUUAACAGAUAUAAUUAGAUAUACUAAUAUUUGAUGUUGACGGAAACCCCGGUUAAAGGCGGCCUUAACGUGAGGGUCCUAAGGUAGCGAAAUGCCUUGGCCGUUAAAUGCGGUCUUGCAUGAAUGAUGUAACGAUACAACAGCUGUCUCUAUGAUUGACUCAGUGAAAUUGGAAUAGCUGUGCAGAUACAGUUUACCUCUAGUUAGACGAGAAGACCCUAUGCAGCUUUACUGUCACUAAUUAUAGAGUAUGAUAAACAAUUUUCAGAUUAUAAGGUAAUUGACAAAAUGACAAUGAGAAUCCUUUAUUUUUUUUUCAUAUGAAUGAAUUGGUUUAGGAUUAUGAGUUGUUAGUUUGCUUUAACUAGCAAGCUAACAGCUCAUUUUAGUAAAUCAACCUAAUUCAGCUUAUUAUUAUUUCACUAUCGCUAGUGAAAUAGAUAAGUACCCUUUGGUAAGGAACUAUCGCUAGGGGACAGUUUAUGUGGGGCACAGACCCUGUAAAGAGUAAACAGGAGUGUCUAAUAAUUUAUAAUUAUUUUGUUUGCGAUUUAAGGUAGUUUAACUAUUUUUAAUCAUAUAAAAUUAUUUAUAUGUACAUUCUUACUUACGAAGUAAGUCCGUAUAUAUAUUUAAAAAAAGGUAGGAUUUUCACUAUAUAGAAAUUAGAGAUAAUAAAAAUAUUAAGAAUAAUUCUUUAUUAUUUUUUAUAGCUUGCUAUGAAAUAAAGCUAUGCUAUAAAAAAAAUUAUAAAGAACAUAAAUCUAAUGUUUUUUAACUAUUAUUAAUAAUAGUUAUGUUUUAAUUAUCUAAAAAGCUCAACGGCUAAAUCUUGCCUUACUGUUUGAUUAUCUACAAAUCUUACAGUUGCGUAAGCAGGGCAUAGGAUCACAAGAUGCAACAAGGAAAGAUCUUGGAUU